rnacentral:sRNA from 1 species
ACUUUACUGCAGGUUGUUGCAGGAGAAACGGGCAAGGCUUUAGGGGAGAACCUCAUUAACACUGAAGGCUAUCAAUUCUAAGCAGGACUCGGGCAGCCGCAAGUAGCUCCUCCAGCGCCCGCAGCCAGCCCAGCAGCAAGCAGCAGGCCCCAGCCGCAGAAUGGAACCUCGGGAGCGGGUUCCACUGUUUCUAAGGCUUAUGGUGCUUCAAAGACAUUUGGAAAAGCUGCAGGUCCCAGCCUGUCACACAAUUCUGGGGGAACACAGUCCAAAGUGGUGCCCAUUGCCAGCCUCACUCCUUACCAGUCCAAGUGGACCAUUUGUGCUCGUGUUACCAACAAAAGUCAGAUCCGUACCUGGAGCAACUCCCGAGGGGAAGGGAAGCUUUUCUCUCUAGAACUGGUUGAUGAAAGUGGUGAAAUCAGAGCUACAGCUUUCAAUGAGCAAGUGGACAAGUUCUUUCCUCUUAUUGAAGUGAACAAGGUGUAUUAUUUCUCAAAAGGCACCCUGAAGAUUGCUAACAAGCAGUUCACAGCUGUUAAAAAUGACUACGAGAUGACCUUCAAUAAUGAGA